UGGUUACUUUUGAUGUAGAUAAUGAAAGUUAUCGUGAGUUCGACUCCAGCUUUCUGCACCUUUUUAUGAAUGCUUUUACAGAAUAAUACAGGACAUACAUGGGCCGGCCCAGAUCACCGGCGAAGUGGAUGCGCUGCAGGCGCCCGUCUGCAAACGGGCGAUUAAGCGCCAAAUGGGAAAUCCCCGACAAUGUUAGGCUUAAUGCGAGAUCUAUCGUAGAAUCGCAUCAAUCAAGGAACUAACAACUGGGCCUCAUAACCAUCUUUUGUCCGUCUGUUCGUUCUUAUAU
rnacentral:lncRNA from 1 species